GCCUAGCAAUAGGUGAAGCAAAGGAGUACUAAUAGACCGAGGGCUUGACU
rnacentral:rRNA from 1 species